GCUACGGGCGGCAGCAGUGAGGAAUAUUGGUCAAUGGGCGCGAGCCUGAACCAGCCAAGUAGCGUGAAGGAUGACUGCCCUACGGGUUGUAAACUUCUGUUAUAAAGGAAUAAAGUGAGGCACGUGUGCCUUUUUGUAUGUACUUUAUGAAUAAGCCUCGGCUAACUACGUGCCAGCAGCCGCGGUAAUACGUAGGAGGCAAGCGUUAUCCGGAAUGACUGGGCGUAAAGGGUGGGUAGGUGGUUUGACAAGUUAGUAGCGCAACUCCGGAGCUCAACUUCGGAACUACUACUAAAACUGUUGGACUUGAGUGCAGGAGGGGCAAUCGGAAUUCCUAGUGUAGCGGUGGAAUGCGUAGAUAUUAGGAGGAACACCAGUGGCGAAGGCGGAUUGCUAGACUGUAACUGACACUGAGGCACGAAAGCGUGGGGAGCAAACAGGAUUAGAUACCCCAGUAGUC
rnacentral:rRNA from 1 species